GUGCACGCUGGCGGUAGGCCUCACCCCUGCAAGUCGAACGGCAGCACCGUAAGAGCUUGCUCUUACGGGUGGCGAGUGGCGGACGGGUGAGGAAUACAUCGGAAUCUACUUUUUCGUGGGGGAUAACGUAGGGAAACUUACGCUAAUACCGCAUACGACCUACGGGUGAAAGCAGGGGAUCUUCGGACCUUGCGCGAUUGAAUGAGCCGAUGUCGGAUUAGCUAGUUGGCGGGGUAAAGGCCCACCAAGGCGACGAUCCGUAGCUGGUCUGAGAGGGUGAUCAGCCACACUGGAACUGAGACACGGUCCAGACUCCUACGGGAGGCAGCAGUGGGGAAUAUUGGACAAUGGGCGCAAGCCUGAUCCAGCCAUACCGCGUGGGUGAAGAAGGCCUUCGGGUUGUAAAGCCCUUUUGUUGGGAAAGAAAAGCAGCAGGUUAAUACCCCGCUGUUCCGACGGUACCCAAAGAAUAAGCACCGGCUAACUUCGUG
rnacentral:rRNA from 1 species